GCAAGUGGUAGGAAUACUGAAAGGACGACCCUUCGGGGAGGCUUGCACAGGUGCUGCAUGGCUGUCGUCAGCUCGUGUCGUGAGAUGUUCGGUUAAGUCCGCUAACGAGCGCAACCCUCACUGUGUGUUAUAUGUGUCACACGGGACUGCCGGUUUUAAGCCGGAGGAAGGUGGGAUGACGUCAAGUCAGCAUGGCCUUUAUAUCUUGGGCUACACACACGCUACAAUGGUCGGUACAAUAGGUUGCCAAGCCGCGAGGCGGAGCCAAUCACAAAGCCGGCCUCAGUUCAGAUUGUAGGCUGCAACUCGCCUGCAUGAAGAUGGAGUUGCUAGUAACCGCAGGUCAGCAAUACUGCGGUGAAUACGUUCCCGGGUCUU
rnacentral:rRNA from 1 species